rnacentral:rRNA from 1 species
GUUAUAUGGUCAAGCGAAUAAGCGCACACGGUGGAUGCCUUGGCGGUCAGAGGCGAUGAAGGACGUGGCAGCCUGCGAAAAGUAUCGGGGAGCUGGCAACAAGCUUUGAUCCGGUAAUGUCCGAAUGGGGAAACCCACCCGCUUGCGGGUAUCCUGCAGUGAAUACAUAGCUGCUGGAAGCGAACCUGGUGAACUGAAAUAUCUAAGUAACCAGAGGAAAAGAAAUCAACCGAGAUUCCGUAAGUAGCGACGAGCGAACGCGGACUAGCCCUUAAGCUGAUUUGGUUCUAGGAAAAUGCUCUGGAAAGAGCAGCCAUAGAAGGUGAUAGCCCUGUAUCUGAAAGGGCCAUUUCAGUGAAGACGAGUAGGGCGGGGCACGUGAAACCCUGUCUGAACAUGGGGGGACCAUCCUCCAAGGCUAAAUACUACUGACCGACCGAUAGUGAACCAGUACCGUGAGGGAAAGGCGAAAAGAACCCCGGAGAGGGGAGUGAAAUAGAACCUGAAACCGUGUGCGUACAAGCAGUAGGAGCUCCGCAAGGAGUGACUGCGUACCUUUUGUAUAAUGGGUCAGCGACUUACUGUUCGUGGCAAGCUUAACCGUAUAGGGGAGGCGAAGGGAAACCGAGUCUGAUAAGGGCGCAUAGUCGCGGGCAGUAGACCCGAAACCGGGUGAUCUAGUCAUGCCCAGGGUGAAGGUGCGGUAACACGCACUGGAGGCCCGAACCCACUCCCGUUGCAAAGGUAGGGGAUGAGGUGUGAUUAGGAGUGAAAAGCUAAUCGAACCCGGAGAUAGCUGGUUCUCCUCGAAAGCUAUUUAGGUAGCGCCUCAUAUGUAUCCUCUCGGGGGUAGAGCACUGUUAUGGCUAGGGGGUCAUCGCGACUUACCAAACCAUUGCAAACUCCGAAUACCGAGACGGACUGUAUGGGAGACACACGGCGGGUGCUAACGUCCGUCGUGAAAAGGGAAACAACCCAGACCCACAGCUAAGGUCCCAAAUUCACUGCUAAGUGGAAAACCAUGUGGAAAGGCACAGACAGCCAGGAGGUUGGCUUAGAAGCAGCCACCCUUUAAAGAAAGCGUAAUAGCUCACUGGUCGAGUCGGUCUGCGGGGAAGAUUUAACGGGGCUAAGCAGUGAACCGAAGCUUGGGGUGCAUAACUUUGUUAUGCGCGGUAGAGGAGCGUUCCGUAAGCCGUUGAAGGUGGAUUGAGAAGUCUGCUGGAGGUAUCGGAAGUGCGAAUGCUGACAUGAGUAACGAUAAUGCGGGUGAAAAACCCGCACGCCGAAAGCCCAAGGUUUCCUUGCGCAACGUUAAUCGGCGCAGGGUGAGUCGGCCCCUAAGGCGAGGACGAAAGUCGUAGUCGAUGGGAAGCAGGUUAAUAUUCCUGCACCUCGCGUAAGUGCGAUGGAGGGACGGAGAAGGUUAGGUGUACCAGGCGUUGGUUGUCCUGGGGAAAGGCGGUAGGUUUGGAUCUUUGGCAAAUCCGGGAUCCUUUAAGACCGAGCACCGAGACGAGCCUUUAUGGCGAAGUCACUGAUACCACGCUUCCAGGAAAAGCUCCUAAGCUUCAGCUUACGCAGACCGUACCGUAAACCGACACAGGUGGGUAGGAUGAGAAUUCUCAGGCGCUUGAGAGAACUCGGGUGAAGGAACUAGGCAACAUGGCACCGUAACUUCGGGAGAAGGUGCACCCUUUUUGGUGGCUCGUGCGAGCUAUAGCUGAAGAGGGUCGCAGUAACCAGGCCGCUGCGACUGUUUAUCAAAAACACAGCACUCUGCAAACACGAAAGUGGACGUAUAGGGUGUGACGCCUGCCCGGUGCUGGAAGGUUAAUUGAUGGGGUCAGCCGCAAGGCGAAGCUCUUGAUCGAAGCCCCAGUAAACGGCGGCCGUAACUAUAACGGUCCUAAGGUAGCGAAAUUCCUUGUCGGGUAAGUUCCGACCUGCACGAAUGGCGUAACGACAGCGGCGCUGUCUCCACCCGAGACUCAGUGAAAUUGAAAUCGCUGUGAAGAUGCAGCGUUCCCGUGGCAAGACGGAAAGACCCCGUGAACCUUUACUAUAGCUUUACACUGAACGUUGAGUUCGUCUGUGUAGGAUAGGUGGGAGGCUAUGAAACUGUGGCGCUAGCUGCAGCGGAGCCAUCCUUGAAAUACCACCCUGUCGUGCUUGACGUUCUAACCUGGGCCCAUUAUCUGGGUCGGGGACCGUGUAUGGUGGGUAGUUUGACUGGGGCGGUCUCCUCCUAAAGAGUAACGGAGGAGCUCGAAGGUACGCUCAGCGCGGUCGGACAUCGCGCACUGUGUGCAAAGGCAUAAGCGUGCUUGACUGCAAGAUCGACGGAUCAAGCAGGUAGGAAACUAGGACUUAGUGAUCCGGUGGUUCUGUAUGGAAGGGCCAUCGCUCAACGGAUAAAAGGUACUCCGGGGAUAACAGGCUGAUACCGCCCAAGAGUUCAUAUCGACGGCGGUGUUUGGCACCUCGAUGUCGGCUCAUCACAUCCUGGGGCUGUAGUCGGUCCCAAGGGUAUGGCUGUUCGCCAUUUAAAGUGGUACGCGAGCUGGGUUCAGAACGUCGUGAGACAGUUCGGUCCCUAUCUGCCAUGGGCGUUGGAGAUUUGAGAGGGGCUGCUCCUAGUACGAGAGGACCGGAGUGGACGAACCUCUGGUGUUCCGGUUGUCACGCCAGUGGCAUUGCCGGGUAGCUAUGUUCGGAAGCGAUAACCGCUGAAAGCAUCUAAGCGGGAAGCGCGCCUCAAGAUGAGAUCUCCCGGGGCACAAGCCCCCUGAAGGAACCAUGUAGACUACGUGGUUGAUAGGUCAGGUGUGUAAGUACAGCAAUGUAUUGAGCUAACUGAUACUAAUGAUCCGUGCGGCUUGACCAUAUAACCU